rnacentral:tRNA from 1 species
GGAGACGUGGCCGAGUGGUCGAAGGCGCUCCCCUGCUAAGGGAGUAAACCCGGAAGGGUUUCGAGGGUUCGAAUCCCUUCGUCUCCG